rnacentral:rRNA from 1 species
UACGUAGGGGGCGAGCGUUGUCCGGAAUUAUUGGGCGUAAAGAGCUCGUAGGCGGUCUGUCGCGUCUGCUGUGAAAAUCCGGGGCUCAACCCCGGACUUGCAGUGGGUACGGGCAGACUAGAGUGUGGUAGGGGAGACUGGAAUUCCUGGUGUAGCGGUGAAAUGCGCAGAUAUCAGGAGGAACACCGAUGGCGAAGGCAGGUCUCUGGGCCACUACUGACGCUGAGAAGCGAAAGCAUGGGGAGCGAACAGG